rnacentral:rRNA from 1 species
GACGAACGCUGGCGGCGUGCUUAACACAUGCAAGUCGAACGGAAAGGCCCUUCGGGGUACUCGAGUGGCGAACGGGUGAGUAACACGUGGGUGAUCUGCCCUGCACUUUGGGAUAAGCCUGGGAAACUGGGUCUAAUACCGAAUAGGACCACGCGCUUCAUGGUGUGUGGUGGAAAGCUUUUGCGGUGUGGGAUGGGCCCGCGGCCUAUCAGCUUGUUGGUGGGGUAAUGGCCUACCAAGGCGACGACGGGUAGCCGGCCUGAGAGGGUGACCGGCCACACUGGGACUGAGAUACGGCCCAGACUCCUACGGGAGGCAGCAGUGGGGAAUAUUGCACAAUGGGCGCAAGCCUGAUGCAGCGACGCCGCGUGAGGGAUGACGGCCUUCGGGUUGUAAACCUCUUUCAGCAGGGACGAAGCGCAAGUGACGGUACCUGUAGAAGAAGGACCGGCCAACUACGUGCCAGCAGCCGCAGUAA